rnacentral:rRNA from 1 species
UACGAGAGGUCCAAACGUUAUUCGGAAUCACUGGGCUUACAGAGUUCGUAGGCGGUCCAGAAAGUGGGGUGUGAAAGCCCUCGGCUUAACCGAGGAACUGCGCUCCAAACUACUGGGCUAGAGGAAGAUAGAGGUGAGCAGAACUGAUGGUGGAGCGGUGAAAUGCGUUGAUAUCAUCAGGAAUACCGGAGGCGAAGGCGGCUCACUGGGUCUUUUCUGACGCUGAGGAACGAAAGCUAGGGAGCAAACGGG